CACGUAGGCACCAAGCGUUGUCCGGAUUUAUUGGGCGUAAAGAGCUCGUAGGCGGCUUGUCGCGUCGUCCGUGAAAACUUGGGGCUCAACCCCAAGCUUGCGGUCGAUACGGGCAGGCUAGAGUUCGGUAGGGGAGACUGGAAUUCCUGGUGUAGCGGUGAAAUGCGCAGAUAUCAGGAGGAACACCGGUGGCGCAAGGCGGGUCUCUGGGCCGAUACUGACGCUGAGGAGCGAAAGCGUGGGGAGCGAACAGG
rnacentral:rRNA from 1 species